rnacentral:misc_RNA from 1 species
UGCUAAGGCCGUGGGGUCU